rnacentral:rRNA from 1 species
UACGUAGGGUGCAAGCGUUAAUCGGAAUUACUGGGCGUAAAGCGUGCGCAGGCGGUUAUGUAAGACAGAUGUGAAAUCCCCGGGCUCAACCUGGGCACUGCAUUUGUGACUGCAUCGCUGGAGUGCGGCAGAGGGGGAUGGAAUUCCGCGUGUAGCAGUGAAAUGCGUAGAUAUCAGGAGGAACACCGAUGGCGAAGGCAGGUCUCUGGGCUGACACUGACGCUCAUGCACGAAAGCGUGGGGAGCAAACAGG